AAGCCUUCGGGGAAGAGGCAAAGUCCCUGAACCGUCCUGACUCCAGCCACCAGCCGGUGUUUGGUGGAUCAGGUCCCGGAGCUCCGCAGCCUGGGAGCCCCACACCAGGCCGGCCCCUACGGCCGCUCAGAAAACGCGGCGAGCGGAACCCGCACGCGGAAGCGCCGGCCGCACUGAGCAUGCCCAGUUGCAGAGCCGACCAGAGGAGUUUUUUCUUUUCUUUUCUUUUUUUUUUUUUAAGGGGGGGGGUCUCAAGUAGGAGGCCUCCCCAUCACCCCCACCCCAGCCCCCCACCACCCCCGGCCUAAGCAGCUACCAUGGCCCAGGUGGCCGGCGCGGCGUUGUCCCAGGCGGGUUGCUCGAAGGUCCAUGUGUUUUGCAAAUUCAAAAAAUUCGCAAUGUUGCUGCACCAAAGGAUAAUGAAGAAUCUCAGGCUGCACCAAGGAUGCUGCGAUUACAGAUGACUGAUGGUCAUAUAAGUUGCACAGCAGUAGAAUUUAGUUAUAUGUCAAAAAUAAGCCUGAACACACCACCUGGAACUAAAGUUAAGCUCUCAGGCAUUGUUGACAUAAAAAAUGGAUUCCUGCUCUUGAAUGACUCUAACACCACAGUUCUUGGUGGUGAAGUGGAACACCUUAUUGAGAAAUGGGAGUUACAGAGAAGCUUAUCAAAACACAAUAGAAGCAAUAUUGGAACUGAAGGUGGACCACCGCCUUUUGUGCCUUUUGGACAGAAGUGUGUAUCUCAUGUCCAAGUGGAUAGCAGAGAACUUGAUCGAAGAAAAACAUUGCAAGUUACAAUGCCUGUCAAACCUACAAAUGAUAAUGAUGAAUUUGAAAAGCAAAGGACGGCUGCUAUUGCUGAAGUUGCAAAGAGCAAGGAAACCAAGACAUUUGGAGGAGGUGGUGGUGGUGCUAGAAGUAAUCUCAAUAUGAAUGCUGCUGGUAACCGAAAUAGGGAAGUUUUACAGAAAGAAAAGUCAACC
rnacentral:lncRNA from 1 species